rnacentral:rRNA from 1 species
UACGUAGGGGGCAAGCGUUGUCCGGAAUCAUUGGGCGUAAAGCGCGUGUAGGCGGCUAGGUAAGUCUGCUCUGAAAGCCCGGGGCUCAACCCCGGGAGGCGGGUGGAUACUGUCUAGCUCGAGUCCGGAAGAGGAGUGUGGAAUUCCUGGUGUAGCGGUGAAAUGCGCAGAUAUCAGGAGGAACACCGGUGGCGAAGGCGGUUCUCUGGGAAUAUCCUGACGCUGAGGAGCGAAAGUGUGGGGAGCGAACAGG